AGUGUUUUGCAGGUGAAUUAG
rnacentral:siRNA from 1 species